UACGUAGGUGACGAGCGUUGUCCGGAUUUAUUGGGCGUAAAGAGCGUGUAGGCGGCCGAGUAAGUCUGACGUGAAAUCUGGAGGCUCAACCUCCAGCUGUCGUUGGAAACUAUUCGGCUAGAGUCCGGAAGAGGAGAGUGGAAUUCCUGGUGUAGCGGUGAAAUGCGCAGAUAUCAGGAAGAACACCAAUGGCGAAAGCAGCUCUCUGGGACGGUACUGACGCUGAGACGCGAAAGCGUGGGGAGCGAACAGGAUUAGAAACCCUGGUAGU
rnacentral:rRNA from 1 species